CUAACCUUUUUCCAUAGAACAACAAAUAUCAAUAAUAAUAAUUAGAAAAACAAAAGUCAGUCGCAACCGUCACUCUCUUUUUCUCCUCUGCGAUGGGGAAAUCAUUUCAAUCUUUUUCUCCUCUUCGGAUUGUGUCAUCUGUAAAGUCGCAACGCCCAAGGCUGACGCAACCGCCCAAACCAUCCCCGUCUCAAUCUCCCACUAAGGAGCACCAACGGACGCCCCUCGCCGCGGUGGUUGCCGACUGUGCAAGGCGGUGGUUCCAUGAGACACUCCAGGAGGCCAAGGCUGGCGACGCCGCCAUGCAGGUUCUCGUUGGACAGAUGUAUUACAGUGGCUAUGGCGUUCCUAGAAAUCCGAAGAAGGGGUAUGAUUGGAUUAGUAGAGUAUCCAGAAUUCGGAGCUCAGUUUGGAAAGUGAACAAAAAGCGUCCAGGUUACAGAGCAAGUGAUUCAGAUUCAUGUGAACCGGAGGUCAAAACGAAAUCUUGUCGUUAAUUUGUAAUACAAGCAAGGAAGAUUGAUGCAGUUGCAUGUUGAGACUUCAAAUGUUAUAUCCUUUUAGAAAUCAAUUUUAUUUUAUUCUUUUAGGUGAUCCUUUUGUUGUUUUGCCUAUGGGUAAAAAUUAAUUCACUUACAUGAGACAUCCAAAAUAGAUGCUAGUUCCCAGCUCUAGACUUCCUUUGAAUUUUGCUCAUCCUUGUUCCGAAUGAUACUGCCUGAAUGUGUUGGACAGACGAGGUUAAGAAGGCAGUUGCACUUUCUUUCUAGGCAUUGAUUGGAUUAGUUGUUCUUCCUCUUUCGAUGUUCAUGAGUUUAAUAACACUAAUCUGAUUUUAUUUUGGUCCCAUCUGCUUCAUAUAUUGCAUUGUCUUUGUUACUGCCAAGGCACCAAUAAUUGCUACAAGAUGGUCACAAUGACAUCACCAGAAGUCCAAAACAAAGGAAUAAAUAAGAAGUGAUAUGAUGUCAACAACAUGAGACAUUUUGGUAUUCUGAUAUACAGUGUAUACACAGCUUAUUUUUAUAUAUUUUAUUGCAUGUCCCAUUUCUUAAAUAACUCUUGCCUCAAUUUCUUUCAAAUUGUAAGUAUCUAUGUUAAUCCUCACAAUUGUAAUUGUAGUCCUAAACCCUAAACCUUAUUUUUAUAUCUUUUUCCUAAACAC